rnacentral:rRNA from 1 species
CUCAACCGUAAAAUUGCAGUUGAUACUGGAUAUCUUGAGUGCAGUUGAGGCAGGCGGAAUUCGUGGUGUAGCGGUGAAAUGCUUAGAUAUCACGAAGAACUCCGAUUGCGAAGGCAGCCUGCUAAGCUGCAACUGACAUUGAGGCUCGAAAGUGUGGGUAUCAAACAGGAUUAGAUACCCUGGUAGUCCACACGGUAAACGAUGAAUACUCGCUGUCUGCGAUAUACUGCAAGCGGCCAAGCGAAAGCGUUAAGUAUUCCACCUGGGGAGUACGCCGGCAACGGUGAAACUCAAAGGAAUUGACGGGGGCCCGCACAAGCGGAGGAACAUGUGGUUUAAUUCGAUGAUACGCGAGGAACCUUACCCGGGCUUAAAUUGCAGAUGAAUUACGGUGAAAGCCGUAAGCCGCAAGGCAUCUGUGAAGGUGCUGCAUGGUUGUCGUCAGCUCGUGCCGUGAGGUGUCGGCUUAAGUGCCAUAACGAGCGCAACCCUUGUUGUCAGUUACUAACAGGUUCCGCUGAGGACUCUGACAAGACUGCCAUCGUAAGAUGUGAGGAAGGUGGGGAUGACGUCAAAUCAGCACGGCCCUUACGUCCGGGGCUACACACGUGUUACAAUGGGGGGUACAGAGGGCCGCUACCACGCGAGUGGAUGCCAAUCCCAAAAACCUCUCUCAGUUCGGACUGGAGUCUGCAACCCGACUCCACGAAGCUGGAUUCGCUAGUAAUCGCGCAUCAGCCACGGCGCGGUGAAUACGUUCCCGGGCCUUGUACACACCGCCCGUCAAGCCAUGGGAGCCGGGGGUACCUGAAGUGCGUAACCGCGAGGAGCGCCCUGGGGUAAAACUGGUGACUGG